CUUGAACCACGCGGUACUUCGGUAGUUCUUAUUCUUUAUUUUCAUAUUCACUGAACACCGGAAAAACCCUAGGAUGCUUUAUAAGAAUUUACCGUGUCCUUUGCCAAUAACAAAUGGGUCGCUUUUGGGAAUUUCUGACACUAGUUUAGCUUUAUAAAAAAACACCUUGGAUUUUUAUAAAGACUAUUUUUAGUGCCAGCUCAAACAUAAUAAGAUUACAUUUUAUUCUAUUUUUAUCGCCACGCAAAUAGGUUUAUAUAAGAAUGAUAUUUGAUAGGCGUAUUAACAUUAAAUCUAGAUGUAGAGUAUGUGUAAGUGUAAGCAUUCUAGGAUUUAAAUCUAUUCAUUAAAUUGUGUUCGUAAAUGUUUUUGGUGACAACCCUUUCAAACAUUGGACACAACCCAACCCUUUAUCUCAUAAGUGGUUUAGUUUACGGCAAUACGCACCAUGAAAUGCACGGCUAUAUAAUAAUAUACACCCGGAGGCCCUGUACACUUCUUCACCCUUAGGCAAAAUCUUUCGAUUGAUUACUGGUAUCCAUGGGAGAGAGACAUACACACAGACACACAGAUUCGAAAGGUUUUUUUCUUCUUCGAAUAAGAAAGAAAAAAAAGCCCGAAUUGAAAGUGUGCCUUAACGGUAUAGAUCAGUAAAUGAUUCGCUAUGACGACAAGAGCCUUGAUACGCCACUAGAGUUGAUGUUCCUGAAAUGAAUUCGCUAUGACGACAAGAGUCUCGAUACGCCACUAGAGUUGAUGUUCCUGAAAUGAAUUCGCUAUGACGACAAGAGCCUUGAUACGCCACUAGAGUUGCUGUUCCUGAAAUGAAUUCGCUAUGAAGACAAGAGCCUUGAUACGCCACUAGAGUUGCUGUUCCUGAAAUGAAUUCGCUAUGAAGACAAGACCCUUGAUACGCCACUAGAGUUGCUGUUCCUGCACACUUUUGAAAUAAAUGAUUUGUAUCGCUGUUUUGCAUUAAAAUGUCUUUU